rfam:Triticum aestivum genome assembly, contig: Triticum_aestivum_CS42_TGACv1_scaffold_593233_7BS
CAUAUACUCCCUCCGUCCGAAAAAGCUUGUCCCUCAAAUGGAUGUAUCUAGCACCAAGUUAGUGCUAGAUACAUCGAUUUGUGGGACAAGCUUUUUCGGACGGAGGGAGUAUUAU